GUCACCUCCUUCAGGUGAGAACGUCCCAUCCUUGGUGUCACCUCUCCAUGGUGUCACCUCCAUGGUGGCACCUCUCCAUGGUGUCAUCUACCCAUGGUGGCAUCUGUCCAUGGUGGCACCUCCAUGGUGGCACCUCCAUGGUGGCACCUCCUUCAGGUGAGAACGUCCCGUCCUUGGUGGCACCUCCAUGGUGGCACCUCCUUCAGGUGAGAACGUCCCGUCCAUGGUGGCACCUCCCCAUGGUGGCACCUACAUGGUGGCAUCUGUCCAUGGUGGCACCUCAUGGUGUCUCCUCCCUGUGGUGUCACUGGUGUCACCUCCAUGGUGUCACUGCAUGGUGGCACCUCCCCAUGGUGUCACCACUCCAUGGUGUCACCACUCCAUGGUGUCCCCUCCCCAUGGUGGCACCUGUCCUUGGUGUCACCUCCAUGGUGUCACUUCUCCAUGGUGUCACCUUCCAUUGGUGUCACCUCUAUGGUGUCACCUCUCCAUAGUGGCACCUACCCAUGGUGGCACCUCCUUCAGGUGAGAAUGUCCCUGUCCUUGGUGUCACCUCCCCAUGGUGUCACCUACCCAUGGUGUCACCUUCCAGUGGUGGCACCUCUCCAUGGUGUCACCUUCCAUUGGUGUCACCUCCCCUUGGUGGCACCUCCUUCAGGUGAGAACGUCCCUGUCCAUGGUGUCACCUCCAUGGUGGCACCUCUCCAUGGUGGCACCUCCUUCAGAUGAGAAUGUCCCUGUCCAUGGUGGCACCUGCCCUUGGUGGCACCUCCAUGGUGUCCCCUCAUGGUGUCCCCUCCCUGUGGUGUCACUAAUGUCACCUCUGUGGUAUCACCUCCCCAUGGUGUCACUUCCCCAUGGUGGCACCUCCCCAUGGUGUCACCUCCUUCAGGUGAGAACGUCCUGUCCUUGGUGGCACCUCCCCAUGGUGUCACCUCCUCAUGGUGUCACCUCUCCAUGGUGUCACCUCCUCAUGGUGUCACCUCUCCAUGGUGUCACCUCCCCAUGGUGGCACCUCUCCAUGGUGUCACCUCCUUCAGUGUCUAUGACAAGCGUGGCCACCUGUGUCCGUUCGACUCCGGCCUCAUCGAGCGCAACAUCGAGCUUUACUUCAGCGGCGUCGUCAAACCCAUCUACGACGACAACCCCAGCCUGGACGGU
rnacentral:lncRNA from 1 species